rnacentral:rRNA from 1 species
CAGCAGCCGCGGUAAUACGUAGGUCCCGAGCGUUGUCCGGAUUUAUUGGGCGUAAAGCGAGCGCAGGCGGUUAGAUAAGUCUGAAGUGAAAGGCAGUGGCUCAACCAUUGUAGGCUUUGGAAACUGUUUAACUUGAGUGCAGAAGGGGAGAGUGGAAUUCCAUGUGUAGCGGUGAAAUGCGUAGAUAUAUGGAGGAACACCGGUGGCGAAAGCGGCUCUCUGGUCUGUAACUGACGCUGAGGCUCGAAAGCGUGGGGAGCGAACAGGAUUAGAUACCCUGGUAGUCCACGCCGUAAACGAUGAGUGCUAGGUGUUAGGUCCUUUCCGGGACUUAGUGCCGCAGCUAACGCAUUAAGCACUCCGCCUGGGGAGUACGACCGCAAGGUUGAAACUCAAAGGAAUUGACGGGGGCCCGCACAAGCGGUGGAGCAUGUGGUUUAAUUCGAAGCAACGCGAAGAACCUUACCAGGUCUUGACAUCCCUCUGACCACUCUAGAGAUAGAGUUUCCCUUCGGGGCAGAGGUGACAGGUGGUGCAUGGUUGUCGUCAGCUCGUGUCGUGAGAUGUUGGGUUAAGUCCCGCAACGAGCGCAACCCUUAUUGUUAGUUGCCAUCAUUCAGUUGGGCACUCUAGCGAGACUGCCGGUAAUAAACCGGAGGAAGGUGGGGAUGACGUCAAAUCAUCAUGCCCCUUAUGACCUGGGCUACACACGUGCUACAAUGGCUGGUACAACGAGUCGCAAGCCGGUGACGGCAAGCUAAUCUCUGAAAGCCAGUCUCAGUUCGGAUUGUAGGCUGCAACUCGCCUACAUGAAGUCGGAAUCGCUAGUAAUCGCGGAUCAGCACGCCGCGGUGAAUACGUUCCCGGGCCUUGUACACACCGCCCGUCACACCACGAGAGUUUGUAACACCCGAAGUCGGUGAGGUAACCGUAAGGAGCCAG